AUAUAAAUAUAAUUAUUUUUCUAGAA
rnacentral:tRNA from 1 species